CUCAGCUACAACAACCAAACAUUGGCAUGCCUUUAACAGUCUGAGUUUAAACCAGGGCAUGGAGAUGGUGCUGUGCUGUGGUUGGCUCAAGUUAUGGCAAAUCCCUCACCAUGAAAGGCCUGCAUGCUGAUGGACUCGAGGUGUCUGCCAUCAGAUCCCUCACUAUGGACUGCAUGCUGACAGACUUCCCUGGGCCUGCUACCUGAGACCUGCUGCUUCCUCCCGGACUUACUCUGCGGCUUCUUCCUGGACCCACCCGGUACCUGCACCCUCUCAUUGCCCAAGACCAGCCUCGCUGCUCCUGCCCUUCGGCCUCGGACCAUUGGAACGGCGUGUAAUGGGCCGUGUAACGGGACUACUGCUGGAUCCUGGUGGUGACUAUCCCCGCUUUACGCAAUUCUUGCUUCUUUCUAUCUUUUCUAUCACCCACCUUCCCUUCCCCAUCACCCCAAUCCGUAAUAGUGUCUGUCCUCCCCUUUCUUCAUUUCCUUUAUUAACAUUUGUAAUAAACUGGUCCGACCAACAUUUGAACCGUUGCUUCUUAAUCUCAUGCCGGGUAUACAUACAUCAAAGAACCUCCUCUCCCUCCUAUAAAUUGGAGCGAGGCACAUACACACAGGGCAUGAUGGAUCUGAGUGUGUACAACUGUCACAAGAGGCAGUCAGCACUGCGCUGCACCCUCUCCAACCCCUGGUUCUAGCCCAGGCAGUCCCAGUCACAAAGCAAUAGUCUGAUUGCUGAGUGAUAGGAACCCACCUGGGGCAGAGCCAUUGCCAUGACGGUGUGUCGCAGGGGUUGCAUGGGCUGCAUUGCAAGCUGUGCUGGGCCGCAUGUGGUCUGUGGGCCACUGGUUAGACAUGCCUGAGGAAGGAUUUCUCAACCAUUCCUGGAAGAGUCCAGAAUAACGCCCAAGAAACAGACAAGUCAUGGGAGUGGACCUGUAUUCAGUAUCUGAACCAAGAUUUGGCUGGUGUCUGGUGUCUCAAUCAGUCCUGGAACUGGAGCCAAGUGUAUUUGAUGAAAGUCCAUUCUUCAGUAAAUACAUGAAGAUCCACAGGAGAGAAGAAAAAAAAUCCUUGCCUAGCAAAACUAUAUAUUUUUUUCUAAGACUGAAUGUUGCAUUUGUUUUGACAUUUUAAAUAAUGCUAAAGUUGGUAUCUUUCCAUCUUGGAAUCUUCAGUCUUCUGCUCAAAAGCUCUAUAUUCUUCUCUGGUUUAUUUAAGUCUAACUCCAACUGUGUGCAUUACAUUCUGUUGGUUUUAUCUGUUCAUGGACCACAAGCAGAUGCCAAGCAUUUUCUGAAGAUAAAACUUUAGAGGCAAAUAGAAGUCACAAUGGGGCACAGUGUUUUGCUUCACUUGGCCACUGAGUGAAUUUUGAAGCCUAGAUUGCUUUUACACUUGCUAUACGACAGAAGGAAAGUACCAGUUAUGGAAAUGUCAGGUAAAUUGGAGAUAUUACAGUCCCAUGGGUGUUUAGACUCUUUUUCCCAAGUUAUUUGAGGAUAAUAAAUGCUGUGGAAUUUCCAUAUACAUUUUUGAGUGAGAAAUUGAAAUUCAUGUUUGAUGCAAUCUUGUCUAUUGACAAGCAGGAAAAGACUAAAUGCUUUGAAAUAUACAUAUAUAUUCUGAAACUAGAGAUAAGUCAUCUCCAUAAGGUAUGACAACACAAGAGAAAAGAGUAAUGUUAGUCCCUUGGAAAAAGAACAAGCUCACCUUUUUGUUUGGCUAUGCUUUUAAUAACAGAUCCUUUGAGCACUUCCAGUUCAUAACCUUCAUAAAGGCUACAAGUUGAAAGAACUGUCGGUAUGAAGAUAUGCAGACCCAUUCAGAAUUUCAGUGCAAAACACCCUAUGCAAACUCCAGCUGAAAAUGGAAUUGGUUCACAACCAGCCGAAAGAUUUGAAACUGCUGAAAGAAAAGAAGUUGUUUCUUAUUUUUUGCAGCUAAAGGCAUUCACAUCACUAACUGUGUGAAAUGAAAAAUCUGUAAUGCGUUCCUGCAUUUCAUUUGCUCACUUGCCUAUAUUAAAAAUAUAUUCACUAAAAAAUGUCAGGGAUUCUACUCUUUGUCUCAUGGUGAUCUAGCUUUUCUUUCUCCCAUAGACUAAAUCUAUUACUGAUGAUGUUAAGCCUGAAAGUAAAGCAUUAAAAGAAACUCUGAGAUUUUAAAAACCCCAAUAAAUUCUAAAUAGUAGGAGGAAUCUUGGAAUGGAUUGUUUCUGCAUGUAUGCCUGCUGAUGUCAUUUGCAGUAAAUUUCAACUGCAUUUUCAUAUUUAGUUGAGUCAAGGGGAAAAUGAUAAUCUCAAAGAUGACAAAGUUAGGUCACUCUGAAAUAGUAGCCAUAGAUUAGAGCUGGGAAUAGAACAAAGAACAACACUGAUGUCAGAGAGGAGUAAUUCUACUUGAGAAACGGUAAGAGUAAUUCCAUGGAGAUAGUAGGCUGUUAAAAGCAUAAGACCAAUUUGCCAACAUAAUGUAUUGCUUGGAACUGCUAUUUUUGCUCUAAAUAAAAAAAUAUAUAAAAAAAUUAUCUGGUAAACACAUAAAUAAGGUAGACUUAAGUGGCUAACAGACAUGUCAGUUUAUCACAAGAAAUAUUAGCUUUCUUGUCACUAUUACUUGGAGUAAGUCUCCUGUGUUAGACAUAGCUAAUAAUGACUGUUAUGAAACAGGUGUUUAAUACUCUUAUGAAAUUAGAUGGACAUUAGCUUCCUACUCAGAAAAUCACCUUCAUAAAUGGAGCUCUGCUUGGAUGGCCUUAAUGGAGGAAAAAAGGCCAUUUGUGGUCUCUUAAGACAGAACAGUUAUUCUGCUUCUCUUCGAGAAGUAAUUUCUUUUUACUAGCUUGCAAACUAAACAUCGUGACCUCCUGGCUUGUUGUACCUUCUACCAUAGAAUACCAGUGAAAUAAAACGGUGACUGUACUAUAUUUGGUGUUUUAAAUAUCUUGCAUCUGGGUUCUGAAACAAGAUUUUUCAUUGCACUACCAAAAUUUCUGAAAUAAAGAAAAAUCUAGAAAAGACAAGACAUUACAUGGCAUGGUGAUGAUCUAUGGCAUCAAUACUGUAUAUUUUAUGUCAUAUUUUUGAAAAUACUUUAUCAUAGAAAAUACUUCAAGAAAUUGUUCAGCAGUCUUCUUUUAUAUUAGCCUUCUUGGUACAUCAUCUUUUCCUAUAUAUUCUGCAGGUGAUUUUAUUCUCUAUUUUUGCUGCAAGGCAAAAGGGCAACUGAAUAUUUGGUAAAGGUUG
ensembl:lncRNA